rnacentral:rRNA from 1 species
AACGAACGCUGGCGGCAGGCCUAACACAUGCAAGUCGAGCGAGGACUUCGGUCCUAGCGGCGGACGGGUGAGUAACGCGUGGGAACGUGCCCCUUGGUACGGAAUAGCCCCGGGAAACUGGGAGUAAUACCGUAUGAGCUCUACGGAGGAAAGAUUUAUCGCCAAGGGAUCGGCCCGCGUUGGAUUAGGUAGUUGGUGGGGUAAUGGCCUACCAAGCCGACGAUCCAUAGCUGGUUUGAGAGGAUGAUCAGCCACACUGGGACUGAGACACGGCCCAGACUCCUGCGGGAGGCGGCAGUGGGGAAGCUUAGACAAUGGGCGCAAGCCUGAUCUAGCCAUGCCGCGUGAGCGAUGAAGGCCUUAGGGUUGUAAAGCUCUUUCAGCUGGGAAGAUAAUGACUGUACCAGCAGAAGAAGCCCCGGCUAACUCCGUGCCAGCCGCCGCCGUAACAC